UUACAGCCAUAUCACGUUGAAUCCCCGAUUCUCAUGAGAUCAGUGAAGUUAAGCAGCGACAACUCUGGUCAAUACCUGGAUGGGUGACCGCUUAGGAAUGCCAGGUGCUGUAAG